rnacentral:tRNA from 1 species
UGGGCUAUCGCCAAGCGGUAAGGCAACGGACUUUGUCUCCGUCCUGCGCUGGUUCGAUUCCAGCUGGCCCCGCCA